CAUGGUGCAGGGGGCGUGGGGGAUGCCCAGCUCUGAGCAGGCGGGAGCAGCCCCGCCGUCCUCCAGCGAGAGCUCCCGGCGCCGCACCCCCAGCCCCGGGGGGCCCAGCCAGGACAGAUGGACAGAUGGACAGAUGGAAGGCUCCUGGGGCCCCGGACUCCCCCAGGACACUGGCCUUCGCUGGGCGGCCUGCUGUACUGCAGGUGCUUCUCCCAAGGCCUUCCGGUUCCACGUCCAGGAAUUCUUCUGGAAGCACGGCCACCCCGCCCUCAGGUCCUUCCCUGUCUCCUUUGCACGGAACGCUCGCAGCAUUCACCGCCCAGGCCUGCCUUUGAUCGAUGAGUUACUGCGGUGUGGAUUCCUGCUGUCCCUGGUGUGACGGGCUCCUCCCUGGCCUUGCACCUGACCUGUAGCCUGGAGUCAGUCCACCUGCACGAAGCUGGAGUCAGUCCACCUGCACAGAGCCAGCACCUGAUCCCAGCCUGGCUCAGCCAAAACCCAGCCAACCUAUGACACUGUGAGCAUGAGAGUAAAUGCCGUCUUAAGCCUCUG
rnacentral:lncRNA from 1 species